rnacentral:rRNA from 1 species
CCUACGGGUGGCAGCAGUGGAGAAUAUUGGACAAUGGGCGAAAGCCUGAUCCAGCCAUGCCGCGUGUGUGAAGAAGGCCUUCGGGUUGUAAAGCACUUUCAGUGGGGAAGAAAGCCUUGGGGCUAAUACCCUCGAGGAAGGACAUCACCCACAGAAGAAGCACCGGCUAACUCCGUGCCAGCAGCCGCGGUAAUACGGAGGGUGCGAGCGUUAAUCGGAAUUACUGGGCGUAAAGCGCGCGUAGGCGGUCUGAUAAGCCGGUUGUGAAAGCCCCGGGCUCAACCUGGGAACGGCAUCCGGAACUGUCAGGCUAGAGUGCAGGAGAGGAAGGUAGAAUUCCCGGUGUAGCGGUGAAAUGCGUAGAGAUCGGGAGGAAUACCAGUGGCGAAGGCGGUCUUCUGGACUGACACUGACGCUGAGGUGCGAAAGCGUGGGUAGCAAACAGGAUUAGAUACCCCUGUAGUC